AUGAAAGCCCUCUUCUGGAACAUCAGAGGUUUCGGCGCUCAGGGACGCCGAGACCAAAUUAAAGAUUUGGUCAGGGGGGACAAUAUUGACCUGAUAGGCUUGAUUGAAACCUUCAAAUCCUCUUUCUCUCCUCAUGAGCUUUCCUCUAUCGCGGGGGCGGAUCGGUUUGAUUGGAACUUCCUCCCCUCCUCGGGCCACUCUGGUGGCAUUCUACUAGGUUCGAAACGGGAUGUUUUUGAUUUUGUUGCUUUUGAUCAUGGUAUCUUUUGGGCCAGCACUGUGCUUUUCCAUCGACAGCUUAAUUCUCUCUGGGAAUUUAUGGUUGUUUAUGGCCCGGCCGACCACUCCCUUUCUCCCAUUUUCCUGGACGAAAUCUCCAAUAAAGUAGAAGCUUGUUCGCUCCCCUUGGUGAUUGGUGGUGAUUUUAACUUGCUU
rnacentral:rRNA from 1 species